UUUCCAUUCCCGCCCCUCUUCACGGCGUGAGAGGCCGGGAGGGUCUCUUAACGCCUUCUUUUUUUCAUCGGAGUUCUUUCACAAAGACUUGCCAGGGUAGCGGGUACCGUAGUAGGUAAACUUGAAGGGGAAAGAGAGAUUACUUUGGGCUUUGUUGACUUACUACAUGAUGAUUUGGUUGAACAAAAUCAAAAGAUGGAUCAACAACACACG